ensembl:lncRNA
AUAGAGCUGGCAAAGGGCAAGGACAGGCACUUCAAGGGAAACAGUGGGAGAGAGCAGCUGGGAGCCACACAGCAGCCUGCUGUUGGCAUCAACAGGUCGUUCAUUCUGCUCUGUGUCAGCACACAGGUGUGCUCUGCAGUGACAGCGCUCCUCCAACAGCUCUCUCCCUCCACCAGCUCCCAAAGGGAGUGAUGUUUCCCACCAGCCCGAAGGCAGUCCCUUUAGCUGGGUGUGUCUCUGAGCACAAAGCACGCUUCUGCCUCGCUUCUGUGGCUCUGCAGGGGUUGUCUGUGAAGUGGGGUCUUUGUGCAUGUGCCUGCUGAUGCCUCCAGUGCACAGACAUCUUUGCUCCCCCGUACAUUUAACUUACAGUCUUCAGAUUAGCGUUACCGUGAGCACUGCUUUACAGUCAAAACGUGGUGUUGUAAGGGAUGAAAUCCAGCUGUUCCAUGUUUAUCCAGUGUCAGGGAUUUCACAACACUUGGUGUGCAAGUUAUGACUCGGUUUUUACAGCUGCCAGGAGCACAGCCCAAGCAGCAAGCUGUGUUCCCUCUGCUCAGAGCACUCUCAACACGGAGCAGUGUUGCAGGGAAGCGCAUUGCCAUGGCCGGGAAUAAAAUCUUCAGACAUAAAUAUUUUGCUUUUGGAAAAGUGGAUUUCACAAACAGAUAACACAUACCUUAAAAAUGCUCCUCGGGGCACACAAAUGUUCAUUUCCUGGAAACAUUCAGCUGUGCUGCCGGCCCAGAGAAGCACGAUGCUGACCACCAGCUGACCUUGCACUGAUGCUGUCUGCUUCAGGAUAAAGCACAGAUACUUCUGCAGCUACACAGAACCGGUGACCCUGUUGGAUGAAUACAGUGUCUUAAGCAGAACACAACCUAAGGCCUUUGUCUCGAGAUAAUGCUUUCUUGCAUUAGACAUUUCUGUCCGGAAAACACAUCUCAAUCCAGGUCACCUGGAACUUCAACCCUUACCUUCACAGGACUCACGCUCUGCAGUAACUGCUGAGACCCCACCAAAGAGCAGAAAUUAGGGAGAAAUUUCAGAAGCCAGCUUGGACAUGAUGCUUUCUAUCUGCGUGAACGUGAGGAAAAGAUAAAGGUGAGUGCAAUAGAUGUUGCAGAGGCUGCAUAGCCUGCAGGUCAGUGUGAGCCCACACUGAACACACAUCGGGUCUCUGCACCAGCAAAGUAAUCUGAAGGCAAUUUUGGAGAGCUGCGUGCUCACCAAACACCGAGCUGCCUUUAUCUGAAAUAUAUUGUCUGUGUUAAGGAACUUCAAUACCAGAUGUCUUACGUGCAAGACAGACAGCCGGUUCAACUACAGCAGUACUCCAACAGGGAUGAAUAUCAUCAUGGGGGGGAUUGCAAAGCACAUUAAGGGGGAAAUGGGUGCUGAGAUUUCUUCCUCCUGGUGGUCCCCUGGAAGACAGAGACACGCUGUGGUAGGAGGGCUGAAUGUUGUGGCUGAAGUCAGAGAAAAACCAGGCAGAGAGGAGCCCAGGGAGCACUCUGGAGCAUUGGGAUUGCAGGUCAGUCCCCACAGCACAUACCUCCAUCAGGUGGACAUAGUUUGGUGUCUGAAGAAACAACAGCGAGAUCAAAUAUCCAUUAGAAUGAUUUCUUCUCUUUCCAUGCAUUCCAUCAUGAGUGGUGACAGGAGCUGUAGGGCUCGAGAAUGUCAACCCAUAGGACAUCUCACACCUGGGCUGCCCUUAAGGAGGGAAGGGACGGGCCCAGUAACACACACACUUCAGUGGACGUAGAGCACUGCUAAUCUACAUCAGGACUUACACCAGGGCUCCUAUCUACCCCGGUCCUGCUCUGUAAGGAGCCUGAAUUCCGCGGCAGGCAAAGAGACACUCAUUUGGUGGAGAGCAGGGAUUCCUCUGUGAGCCCCACCAGAUGGAAACCCAUUUUGCUCAGGAACUGCACUGGGAGUUGACACACUUCUUGCAAAACAAGCACAGUGCCAAAUCUCCAGGCAGAAAGCCAUGCUUGAAAAGGGUUUUUUUUUUUAACAAUGUGCUCUCAUCUGCUUUUUCCUCUUAGCAAAAACUUCCUCACUUACCAGUUUAUAUCUCCCGCUGCCAUAGUUUCCCUUCAGCUUCAUAUCUCAGCUCCUGCUCUGCUCUCUGUGCACAUUUAUACACCAAACACUUUGCAGAAAACUUGAAAGGACUGCAUUGUCCUGCUAAUUGGUUAUAAGCACGUUAUCUGCAAUCUGCUGUCCCUGCCCAGCUAUUGUGCUCCCUUGGGGAUAAAACACACAUUAUUUAUUUGGAAUAAGUGCAUGUUAUGCUUAUAACAAGAUAAGCACAAAACAAAAAAAUUACAAAUUAGAAACAUCAUUUUUCUCUUCACAAUGUUCAAGCUGGGAAUAUAAGCACUUGUACAAUAUAUGCAUGCAUACAGUGAAGGCAUAUAUGCAGGAUCCAUCUGAUUUGCCAGACCUGAAUACCUCAGUUUUGAGAACCACGUGUGCAAAUGCCAAGUAAUCUGACUGCUGCUGAAGGUGGACGUGGUGUAAAUCUGAGACCUCUGCAGGCUGCUGAGGGAUGCUCUGCACGUUAUCACAGCCUCAGAUGACCCUGGAGAAAAUCUCUGAGUGAGGAAAGAGGAUACAACUGGAAAAAAAGAACAGGCUAUGUGAGGAAUAUUUAUAAAACAUUUCUAAUCUCUACUCUCUGCAUAUCUUGAGAGAUGAGGAAAGUGCUUCUUGAGAGAAGGCUCUGUAGGCAGGCUGCAGUAAGGGGUGCUCAAAAUGCACAUCCAUUACUUUUGGGUGGUUUAUCAGUUUCAUUAUCAGAUUCAAAAUUAGAACCCCUUCCUUGUGAGCAGUGGUAAUUGUGUCUUAAAAAGGCACAGUGAAGAAAAUACAGUUGUGUGCAGAUCUGCAGAGCACAAUGGGGCCUCCACUGCCAGCAGGGGUCCCAGGCAUGAUCUCUCCUCUUGGGCAAUUCCAACGGGAGAACCCUGAUAACCCUCAUAUCUAGAUCUGUAAGAGCAACUCAUUGUCCUCUGCUAUCCUGUAAUUUAAAUAACACAUGUAGAGCCAUCAGCAGCCGGCAGACAUAUUGUGCUAUACAGUUGCCUUGCUGUUCAAAUUAACGUAAUUACACGCCCAGUUCUCCUAUUUCAGUUGUAAUAGUGAAAACAGUGAACUUGCUGAUAACAGUGAGUACAAAGGCUCUGUUUUCUAGUUUAAGAGCUAAGCUCUUGUGUCAAAAGAGCAGUUUAAAGUUCACAGCCUGCUCUUAGUGGUCACACUUCAGCCACCAGGUGCACUUACCCAGCUCCACUUUCCUCCUUUCUCUCCAGAAUGCUUUAUGGGGAAGAGCUGUGUUUCCCUAAAUAAGGCAAAUAUCCUUUAUUCAGCUGGGCACUGGCAUGGAGUAACAUCAGUGUGGUUUCGAUAUGGCUCAAAAACCGUGGGUUGUUAAGCUGUGGUGGAAGGCAGCACGUGAAAAACCCCAGCCCUUCUUUCAUGAAAGGGGAGCUCAGGCCUCAGCCUUGGAUGAAGGCUCCUUGUGCAGCCCUGUACCACUUUGCCCCCUAAAUACAUCAUGUGAGCUCUUUGUGCCACCACAUCAUAAACCAGCCAUGGGAAUGGAAGAAGACUGCAGAGACCUCCCCAAAGGGCACCACUGCACUGCCCAGUGCCUGGCUGGAAGAGGCUGCUGAAACAAAGCAUGGGUGUAACUCAAGUUUGGAUUUAGCACUUCCUUUGCCAACAAGCACUGCUAAAAUGGAAACUGCUCAUAACAAAGAACACAAAAGCAAAACUGAAAUCAAAAAAUCCCCAUGAAGUGAUCUCGUAAUUAGCAGCUAUUUCUCAUAAAUAGCCGUUGCCUUCCAAAACUAAUUUCAUUAUGGAUAAGCAUUAGGCAGAUCUUCCCCCCAAUCUGUUUGAGCAGCAUGAAAGCACAGGUUCCCCUCCUCUCCUUGAACUCUUCCCUGUGUCAGUGUCUCCUUGCUAGCCCACAGGGUAACCGUCCAGCUCUUGGCUGGCCUAAUGAACUGUAGUGGCCCCAGUUUGCUGGCAGCCCCAGAGCUGAUCCAAAGCAAAAAACAACAGCCCGGGGCCGAGCGCUGUGUGCUUUGCCAUGGCUUCACCCAUUUGCAGCCUCCUCACUGCUGAGCUGAGUCCCACCAAAGCCUUACAUCAGCACAUCUUUGGGCCUUGUCAGCUCUUGCCAGUGUCAACUUCGAGCUGUGCUUCUCCAGAUCCAUCUCUGUGUGUCCAUGUAUCUUUAAAAGGACACAAACCCCCCUCUGCAGCCCUCUCCAUGGCAAUCUCACCUACAGAAUCCGCCAACACAAGUUUUCAAUUCUUAUCUGGAAAAGGUUUUGAAAUGGUUUUACUAUUGUGAAACAUUUUACAGGGAAGUCUGGAUUCCUUGAAUAGAUAUCUGAAUUGACGGUUGAAGCUCCAGGACAUGCCUUUGCUGCAUUUCCAGUUCUCCUCCUCCACCACUAAAGUUUUCCCCAUGCAAUCUAAGAUCCUUCAUCAACUAGAAAAAUUAGAAGAAGUCAACUGAAUCAUCACAAGAUCACGUCCAUGUGUAGCAAAACUGUUUUAAGUGUCUCCUCCCCUGUUUUGCUGUGCUGCGCAGUUUGUCAUCCCCUCAGCUGUGCCCCCCCAUUCUGGUGUCCCUGCUGAGAAACAGCUUCCAGAAAACAGUCAGUUCAAACUUUUUUAUAAGUGCUUUUUUUUUUACCUUCUUCUGUGAUCUAUCUAUCUUUGUACUGUGGCCCCAGUUGUCCCGGUCAGCUCCAGCACAGCGUGGGAGGGGAUGGCCAGGCACUGCUCUGCCCCAGCUCCAAAGGAACCGUGGUAAAAGAAGCAACUCCAAGGGGGUUACAAGGAGGAGCUUGCAAGGCCUCCUGGCUCCUCUGCAGAGGUGGGGGCAGUGGGGAUUUUCAAGGCCUCCCUACUCUACCCGCUGCAGGACCUUGCACACACCCUAUGCAUUACCUCCCGCAGCUUCUCCCUCCUGUCAAAUGAUCCACUCAUCCUCCCCAGCUCAGAAAUCCUGCCCAUGCUGAUUUCCAGUUAAAGGAAGACCAACGACUCUACACAUCCACUUGGAAACACCAUCUGAAAUGUUGCGGAUCCCUCAACACUGUGCACUCAGAUCUGGGAAGAAAUACGAGUCCUCAACAGGACUCAAAGCACCUUUGUGAAGGCUCUUUCUAACUGUUGACAUUCUAUGUUCUGUUUUCAAAUGCACUUUAUUUGCAUUACCUGAAUAAACCUUCUGUUAAUAAGUUACCUAGCAGCUCUGAGUGAUCAGAACAGUAGUUAAUCUGCUGAUAAUGUUGAUAUUCAGGCAAAUAAGAGUAGCGACUGAACAAAGUUGAAUACAAGUUGGGAAUGCUUUGCUUGCUGAGAGGUCUCUAGUUUGCUUACGUGUUAACUCACAUCUCAGCUAAUGAGAAAAAACAAGUAUUGGGAGUUAUUCAAAACGAAGCUCUGGGCUGCAUGCAGCAAACACACAGCUCUGAUACUGAUUGUUAAAAAUACUUUGUUCUCUACCUUAGGAGUUUAGGAAUUAGCUGUUUAUUAUCGGGGAUCUUUCUGAACAUCCUUCCCAAGUAAAUAAGGAAAUCCUUCUUAAAAGAGUCUGAAGAAGUGUUUGUUAAACCUUUUUGUUCCCAGACACUCCAGUUCUCCUCUCGCACACCGAUGUCAGCUUGAGUUCAACCUGAAAAAACCGAGCAUGGCAAAGCAAAAACCCGAGCCCUGAGAGCAAACACCCUGCAGCUCAGUGAAGCACGCAGCAGUUUGCUUUCAGUUAACUAUUGCUAUAGUUAUAUUUUUCAGUUAAACAUUACACAACUUUGGAGUAGGAAUGGUGAAAAUAAAGGCGUGUUGACCCAGGAGACAGCUCCCCUUUCAGUGCUCCCUUCUGCCCUUUCUGUUUUCUGUGUUUCAGUGCCGUUCAAGCCCAGAAACUCACCUUGCACCUGGCAACAUCUGCCACCUGUAAAUGCUGGAGCUUCACAGGUCCCCUCCGUGCAGCAGUCGGGCCACAGAGCUGUACUGAUCCUCGGUUUGCUGGUAGAUAUGGGGAGAUUCUGCUCCUCACUGCAGAAAGACUCAUUUUUCAGGGCAGAAGGAAAAUGCAUUUGCUAUUCAGCAUCACUGAAGACACAAACUGAAGAUCCACGUAAGCAAUAAGGUAUUUCUGCACCUCCUGCAAGACAUUUAUGCAACACCUUCUAUAAUAUUAAAGCGUGUGCAAUUUUAUCACUACUGUGAUAUCACUGGCGUGUUCCCUGCAUUCCAGUGUCUCCCUUCAGGUUUGCUCCAACUGACUGAUAGCCCAGCAACAUGCACCAGUAAUUCAGCUUCCCCUCCCAGUCUGCACCAUCCUGCACUUCACCACUACGCCUUUCCCUGUCACUGACCUCAGAAGGUUCUCUCUAAAGCUCUGGGUGAUCUUGUCCAGUACAGUCCAACCUGCAUCUUCCCUGAGCUCUCACAGCCCCCUCAAUUCACAGCCGGUAACCUGGAAAGAACCGCACCUGAGAUGCUGCAGACACCAACACACUGAAGGACUCCAAAGACUAUUUCCUGAGGGAGAAUUGCUAUACCUCACUCCCAUAGGUCCUCCAUGUCCCAGAGCUAAAGAGUUGGAACAUCCAUGGCCGGGUUUCCUUCUCGUUAUUGCUUUUCUUAUAUGAACCAUGCAGCGUGAAAGACUGAGCAGAUGAAACUUUCCAGCUACUGGCAUGAAGCCUUUCCACAGACGUAAAAGGAGUGGCAGAAGAACGUUUGUAUCUCAGGAGGUUAAGGGCGCUCAUCUGUGAUGAAGAUAAUCAAAUUUGAUGCUUCAGGGCUUCACCUAAUUGCUCAGUAGAACACUGCUAUGUGCAAAGGACAAUUCUUCCCCUUUCUGAAGCACAGCGGCAGCAGCUCAGUGUGUUCUGGCUUUCCUCCCACCUUCCUCCAGAGCUGCAAU